GAUGAGCGCUGGCGGCGUGCCUAAUACAUGCAAGUCGAGCGAACAGACGAGGAGCUUGCUCCUCUGACGUUAGCGGCGGACGUGUGAGUAACACGUGGAUAACCUACCUAUAAGACUGGGAUAACUUCGGGAAACCGGUGCUAAUACCGGAUAAUAUAUUCAACCGCAUUGUUCAAUAGUGAUAUACGGUUUUGCUGUCACUUAUAGAUGGAUCCGCGCCGCAUUAGCUAGUUGGUAAGGUAACGGCUUACCAAGGCAACGAUGCGUAGCCGACCUGAGAGGGCGAUCGGCCACACUGGAACUGAGACACGGUCCAGACUCCUACGGGAGGCAGCAGUAGGGAAUCUUCCGCAAUGGGCGGAAGCCUGACGGAGCAACGCGGCGUGAGUGAUGAAGGUCUUCGGAUCGUAAAACUCUGUUAUUAGGGAAGAACAAAUGUGUAAGUAACUAUGCACGUCUUGACGGUACCUAAUCAGAAAGCAACGGCUAACUACGUG
rnacentral:rRNA from 1 species